AGACGGCUACCAGUUCUAAGGAACGCAGCAGGCGCGCAAUUACACAAUGACAGUAAACUGUUGAUGUAGUGACAAGAGGUAACGGGGCGGUCCUCUAUGAGGCCCGUCAUUGUAUUGAGUAAAACUCAAAAUAUUUAACGAAACCAAUUGAGGGCAAGUCUGGUGCCAGCAGCCGCGGUAAUUCCAGCUCCAAAAGCAUAUAUUAAAGUUGUUGCGGUUAAAAAGCUCGUAGUUGGAUCCAUGACCUCGGAGGGCGGUCCCCCACUGGGUGCGUACUGCUGCUCCGAGUCCUAUCUGUCAGUUUGUCUGUGUUGCCUUUAAUCGGGUGGCACAGGUGACUGACGUGUUUACUUUGAAAAAAUUAGAGUGUUUAAAGCAGGCGUUGAAUGCCUGAAUAGUGGUGCAUGGAAUAAUGGAAUAGGAUCUCGGUUCUAUUUUGUUGGUUCAAGAGCAUGAGAAAAUGAUUAAGAGGGACAGACGGGGGCAUUUGUAUUGCUGCGUUAGAGGUGAAAUUCUUGGAUCGUAGCAAGACAAACUAUUGCGAAGGCAUUUGCCAAGAAUGUUUUCAUUAAUCAAGAACGAAAGUUAGAGGUUCGAAGGCGAUCAGAUACCGCCCUAGUUCUAACCGUAAACCAUGUCGACUAGCUAUCUGUCAGCGUUAAUAAUGACCUGACAGGCAGCUUACCGGAAACGAAAGUUUCUCGAUUCCGGGGGUAGUAUGGUUGCAAAGCUGAAACUUAAAGGAAUUGACGGAAGGGCACCACCAGGAGUGGAGCCUGCGGCUUAAUUUGACCCAACACGGGAAAACUCACCCGGCCCGGACACCGUAAGGAUUGACAGAUUAAUAGCUCUUUCUCGAUUUGGUGAUUGGUGGUGCAUGGCCGUUCUUAGUUGGUGGAGCGAUUUGUCUGGUUAAUUCCGAUAACGAACGAGAUUCUAACUUACUAACUAGUUCCACGAUCCUUGUGGUCCUAAAUACUUCUUAGAGGGAAAACCGGCAUUUAGUCGAACGAGAUUGAGCAAUAACAGGUCUGUGAUGCCCUUAGAUGUCCGGGGCUGCACGCGUGCUACACUGAAGGAAUCAGCGUGUUUUUCCCUUGCCUGUAAUGGCUGGGUAACCGACUGAAUCUCCUUCGUGCUAGGGAUAGAUCAUUGAAACUAGUGAUCUUCAACUUGGAAUUCCUGGUACGUUUGAGUCAUAAGCUCAAGCAGAUUACGUCCCUGCCCUUUGUACACACCGCCCGUCGCUACUACCGACUGGCAAUAUCUUUGAGACACUUGGAGCGGCCGUGAGCUACCCUAACCGGUAACUCACGGCUGCGAAAAGGUUCGAAAAGGUUUUGCUGGAGGAAGUAAAAGUCGUAACAAGGUU
rnacentral:rRNA from 1 species